CAAGGAAUUUUCCCCAAUGGGCGCAAGCCUGAGGGAGCAACGCCGCGUGGAGGAUGACGGCCUUCGGGUUGUAAACUCCUUUUUAGGGGGACGAUAAUGACGGUACCCCUGGAAGAAGCCCCGGCUAACUCCGUGCCAGCAGCCGCGGUAAGACGGAGGGGGCAAGCGUUGUCCGGAAUCACUGGGCGUAAAGCGCGCGUAGGCGGUGCGUUGCGUCGGUGCUGAAAGCGCCAGGCUUAACCUGGCGAGGCGUGCCGAUACGAACGAACUAGAGGCAGGCAGAGGGUGGCGGAAUUCCGGGUGUAGUGGUGAAAUGCGUAGAGAUCCGGAGGAACGCCGGUGGCGCAAGCGGCCACCUGGGCCUGACCUGACGCUGAGGCGCGAAAGCGUGGGGAGCAAACCGG
rnacentral:rRNA from 1 species